UAAAUUUUGUUGUUUCAUGUAUGGGACCUAAGCCACGAUGAUCGAAUAGAGAUCGCGAAGAUCAAUUGGAAAUAUUGCAGACUUGGUCCCAAUGGUUUACUAAUUACGGAGUUGGUUCUAGUGGUUGUAAAGUUUGCACUCAGGUGAUUUUUAUCACUAACCCAUGUUAAUUUUCUUAGUUAAAUGUAUGAGAAAUGAUUAGAUUAUCCCUGAACAAUAAAUAAAAUAAAAAAUAAAGAUGUUCCACACUCUUUUUCUGGUCAAAAACAGAACAUCAUGUAAUUAUAUUAGAUGGGAGGAGUGGUGUAAAUACCCGUUGGACAUGUUGUAAUUUUUUUUGCCCUUUGCCCGU
rnacentral:lncRNA from 1 species